rnacentral:rRNA from 1 species
ACGAACGCUGGCGGCACGCUUAACACAUGCAAGUCGAACGAGAGAAGAGGAGCUUGCUUUUCUGAUCUAGUGGCGGACGGGUGAGUAACACGUGAGCAAUCUGCCUUUCAGAGGGGGAUACCGAUUGGAAACGAUCGUUAAUACCGCAUAACAUAAUUGAACCGCAUGAUUUGAUUAUCAAAGAUUUAUCGCUGAAAGAUGAGCUCGCGUCUGAUUAGCUAGUUGGUAAGGUAACGGCUUACCAAGGCGACGAUCAGUAGCCGGACUGAGAGGUUGAUCGGCCACAUUGGGACUGAGACACGGCCCAGACUCCUACGGGAGGCAGCAGUGGGGAAUAUUGCACAAUGGAGGAAACUCUGAUGCAGCGAUGCCGCGUGAGGGAAGAAGGUUUUAGGAUUGUAAACCUCUGUCUUCAGGGACGAAAAAAGACGGUACCUGAGGAGGAAGCUCCGGCUAACUACGUGCCAGCAGCCGCGGUAAUACGUAGGGAGCGAGCGUUGUCCGGAAUUACUGGGUGUAAAGGGAGCGUAGGCGGGAUCGCAAGUCAGAUGUGAAAACUAUGGGCUUAACCCAUAAACUGCAUUUGAAACUGUGGUUCUUGAGUGAAGUAGAGGUAAGCGGAAUUCCUAGUGUAGCGGUGAAAUGCGUAGAUAUUAGGAGGAACAUCAGUGGCGAAGGCGGCUUACUGGGCUUUAACUGACGCUGAGGCUCGAAAGCGUGGGGAGCAAACAGGAUUAGAUACCCUGGUAGUCCACGCCGUAAACGAUGAUUACUAGGUGUGGGGGGACUGACCCCUUCCGUGCCGCAGCAAACGCAAUAAGUAAUCCACCUGGGGAGUACGACCGCAAGGUUGAAACUCAAAGGAAUUGACGGGGGCCCGCACAAGCAGUGGAGUAUGUGGAUUAAUUCGAAGCAACGCGAAGAACCUUACCAGGUCUUGACAUCGUAUGCAUAGCUCAGAGAUGAGUGAAAUCUCUUCGGAGACAUAUAGACAGGUGGUGCAUGGUUGUCGUCAGCUCGUGUCGUGAGAUGUUGGGUUAAGUCCCGCAACGAGCGCAACCCUUACUGUUAGUUGCUACGCAAGAGUACUCUAGCAGGACUGCCGUUGACAAAACGGAGGAAGGUGGGGAUGACGUCAAAUCAUCAUGCCCCUUAUGACCUGGGCCUCACACGUACUACAAUGGCUGUCAACAGAGGGAUGCAAAGCCGCGAGGUGGAGCGAACCCCUAAAAGCAGUCUUAGUUCGGAUUGUAGGCUGCAACCCGCCUACAUGAAGUCGGAAUUGCUAGUAAUCGCAGAUCAGCAUGCUGCGGUGAAUACGUUCCCGGGCCUUGUACACACCGCCCGUCACGCCAUGGGAGUCGGUAACACCCGAAGCCUGUAGUCUAACCGCAAGGAGGACGCAGUCGAAGGUGGGAUUGAUGACUGGGGUG